rnacentral:rRNA from 1 species
AAUGAACGCUGGCGGCGUGGAUUAGGCAUGCAAGUCGAGCGAGAAGGUUUCUUUUGCUUGCAUUAGAAACUGGAAAGCGGCGAAAGGGAGAGUAACGCGUAGGAUACCUGCCCCCAGGUCUGGGAUAGCGGUGGGAAACUGCCGGUAAUACCGGAUAAUGUCCCCGGACCAAAGGUGAGAUUCCGCCUGGGGAUGGUCCUGCGUCCUAUUAGUUUGUUGGUGGGGUAACGGCCUACCAAGACUUUGAUGGGUAGCGGGCGUGAGAGCGUGGCCCGUCUCACUGGGACUGAGACACUGCCCAGACACCUACGGGUGGCUGCAGUCGAGAAUCUUCCGCAAUGGACGCAAGUCUGACGGAGCGACGCCGCGUGCGGGAUGAAGGCCUUCGGGUUGUAAACCGCUGUCAGUGGGGUGGAAAUGCAUCGGGGCUAUCCCCGGUGUUUGACCUAACCGCAGAGGAAGUCCGGGCUAAGUACGUG